CAGGUAGAAGUAGUCAUAAAGUACAUGACUAGGAUAGUGUUCACUGAGCACGUAACAGAAGAAAAGGGUUUCUGGAACAGGGAGAUACUAUCUGACCUUGUUGAAUAAGAAAGCUCAGUUUCAUUUCCUGUUGCGCAACGUGUUGACGACGUGUUUUGUUUUGGUGUGCCUGACCCAGCACUCAAGCGUUUUGAUUUGGUCAAAGAGGCCACUGCUGGAUCAAGAGGCUUGGGCAUAACUGACACACAUACAUACACUCAUUGUAUCUCCCUGUGUGACAGGUUCUGAGGUGCAGGAGGUUUACCUAAAGUCGUGGGAAGCCUUGCUGUGGCUGGCAAUUUUAAAACGGUCUACAAGCAAAACCACAACAUGGACGUCUUCUCUCAGGCCAACUGAGGCACAGCAACAGAAUGACUGUGUUUAAAGGUCGACAGCAGCAGGCGCCCCCUAGUGGAGCUACCAGAGCCUCCUCAGCGAGCUCUGUGGUGGGGCCUAGAGACCCUAAUGGAACCUGCAGGACCUUUUCGGCGAGCUCCGUGAGGGGGCCUAGAGAGAAGCAGCAGGAAGAGAGGUGUCACCAGAGGCUCCCCCAGCAGGCCUUCCUGUCUGAGGAGCAAUCCGUCUCGGUUGUCCUCAAGCUACCUCCUCCACCUCCUCAGAAACACAGGCUCAGAGCUCCAUCUGUCAGGUUGCCGCUCUAAGCAAGCCCCCUGCCUCGUCGUCGGGGCCGUCGGACCAUGUCUCUGUACUGGUGUUCGGUCUACGCCAACGCCACGCCACGUGUGCUCGCUGGAUGGCGUCGACUUUGUGGUCAGUAACCGCAGUGGUGGAUAGGCAGAGUCGAUCGGAGCUGGCCGGGAUGGCAAACAGCAAACGGUUGGUGGAGAGAGUAACCAGCCUGCAGGGCCUUUUUGAUCUCAUCGUAGAGAAGGACUGCACCUUACUAGGUGAGGGAGGGCACACAUUCACUUUUGAACAGAACCAGUUGGCUGGAAUACUUCCUGUGGGUUCAAUUCCUGAUUUUCUAGAUUUCUAAAGUAUGCUCACUUUUGUUUGAUUGUGACAGUUUGUGAUUGUGACAGUUUGUGAUUGUGACAGUGUGUGAUUGUGACAGUGUGACAGUUUGUGAUUGUGACAGUGUGUGAUUGUGACAGUGUGACAGUGUGUGAUUGUGACAGUGUGACAGUGUGUGAUUGUGACAGUGUGUGAUUGUGACAGUGUGACAGUGUGUGAUUGUGACAGUGUGUGAUUGUGACAGUGUGACAGUUUGAUUGUGACAGUUUGUGAUUGUGACAGUGUGUGAUUGUGACAGUGUGUGAUUGUGACAGUGUGUGAUUGUGACAGUGUGUGAUUGUGACAGUUUGUGAUUGUGACAGUGUGUGAUUGUGACAGUUUGUGAUUGUGACCGUGUGUGAUUGUGACCGUGUGUGAUUGUGACAGUUUGUGAUUGUGACAGUUUGUGAUUGUGACAGUGUGACAGUAUCACAAAAAUGUUCAAGGAAGUUUGAUAAAAUAAUACAUGUAAGAGUAGAAAGAUCAGACAGGGUUCAACAUGACCUUUCUACUAUACGAGUCAAAAGAUCACAGGCAGCAGAUGCUGCCCUGCGUCAGCUGUCAAAACCCUCAACAAAUAAAAUUAAAUGUUAUUUGUCACGUGCGCCGAAUACAACAUAGGUUCAGAUUGGUGGGCCACCUGGUCAGCAGGUAGGGGCAGUCAAAUUAAUUGGGCAUCUCUGUAAGCUUUCAUUUAUAAUAAAUUUGAUAACAAAAAAAGUAAACAAAAGACACAUUGAGAUUGACCUCUCUUUUUCAAAUAAGCCCUGGCCAAGAAAAGCAGCAUACCACAAUACAAACAUAUUGCUGGUACAUCAGUGCAUUAACACGUCAAAGCAGCAGUGGAUUCAAGUACACUUCCAUUCCAAUUGCAUUUCAAUUCCAAUUUGUUGAAGUGGAAAGACCAUGCAACCAACAGGAUAGUCAUUCA
ensembl:lncRNA